rnacentral:sRNA from 1 species
UCGGCGGUGAUGGCCCUGCAGGAAGC